rnacentral:rRNA from 1 species
UGGGGAAUUUUGGACAAUGGGCGAAAGCCUGAUCCAGCAAUGCCGCGUGUGUGAAGAAGGCCUUCGGGUUGUAAAGCACUUUUGUCCGGAAAGAAAUGGCUCUGGUUAAUACCUGGGGUCGAUGACGGUACCGGAAGAAAAAGGACCGGCUAACUACGUGCCAGCAGCCGCGGUAAUACGUAGGGUCCAAGCGUUAAUCGGAAUUACUGGGCGUAAAGCGUGCGCAGGCGGUUGUGCAAGACCGAUGUGAAAUCCCCGAGCUUAACUUGGGAAUUGCAUUGGUGACUGCACGGCUAGAGUGUGUCAGAGGGGGGUAGAAUUCCACGUGUAGCAGUGAAAUGCGUAGAGAUGUGGAGGAAUACCGAUGGCGAAGGCAGCCCCCUGGGAUAACACUGACGCUCAUGCACGAAAGCGUGGGGAGCAAACAGG